rnacentral:rRNA from 1 species
AACGAACGCUGGCGGCAGGCUUAACACAUGCAAGUCGAACGCCCCGCAAGGGGAGUGGCAGACGGGUGAGUAACGCGUGGGAAUCUACCCAGAUCUUCGGAACAACUGAGGGAAACUUCAGCUAAUACCGGAUACGCCCUACGGGGGAAAGAUUUAUCGGUUCUGGAUGAGCCCGCGUUGGAUUAGCUAGUUGGUGAGGUAACGGCUCACCAAGGCGACGAUCCAUAGCUGGUCUGAGAGGAUGAUCAGCCACACUGGGACUGAGACACGGCCCAGACUCCUACGGGAGGCAGCAGUGGGGAAUAUUGGACAAUGGGCGAAAGCCUGAUCCAGCCAUGCCGCGUGAGUGAUGAAGGCCUUAGGGUUGUAAAGCUCUUUCAGUAGGGAAGAUAAUGACGGUACCUACAGAAGAAGCCCCGGCUAACUCUGUGCCAGCCGCCGCGGUAAAAC